UUGCCCCGAGAUGAGUUCUCCCUGACUCCUUGAGAGUCCUGAAGGAACGUUGAAGACGACGACGUUGAUAGGCCGGGUGUGUAAGCGCAGCGAUGCGUUGAGCUAACCGGUACUAAUGAACCGUGAGGCUUAACCUUACAACGCCGAAGAUGUUUUG
rnacentral:rRNA from 2 species